rnacentral:rRNA from 1 species
UCGCUGCUACCGAUUGAAUGUUUUAGUGAGGUUCAGGGAUUGUGCUCUUUUGGGUUUACUCAAUUGUAGCGUGAAAACUGAGACAAACUUGAUCAUUUAGAGGAAGCAA